rnacentral:sRNA from 1 species
AAAAAUAAAAGAAAAUCAAAAACUCUUUUCGAAGACGCAGAACAAUUCUGACGAAACUUAAACCCAUAUUGAAAGUGAAAUUUCGAUUGAGGCUCUCUUCGAGUUCAAGUCGUUGCUUAAGUGGAGGAAAUUUUGAUCGAGUUCGUGUUAAAGUGUCUAACAAUAAGAGGAUUUUUGGGUUUCUCAAUUCACUGUUUAUAGAAGAACUCAAAUGGCAGAGAUGAAGAAGAGUAGUCGGCGACGAGGAGUUUCCGAAUUUAGUGUCGAAGACGCAAAAUCAAAAACUGUUUUGAAGACGCAGAACAAUUCCGACGAAACUUAAACCCAGAUCGAAAGUGAAAUUUCGAUUGAGGCUCUGUUCGAAUUCGAGUCGUUGCUUAAGUGGAGGAAAUUUUGAUCGAGUUCGUGUUAAAGUGUCUAACAAUAAGAGGAUUUUCGGGUUUCUCGAUUCACUUUUUAUAGAAGUACUCAAAUGGCGGAGAUGAAGUAGAUUAGUCGGCGGCGAGGAGUUUCCAAAGUUAAUGUCAUCGGCGGCGACGACAAAUAUGGGUAAGUUUGCCCUAACUUCGUUUGGGAAUGUUUUGAU